rnacentral:rRNA from 1 species
ACCAGCACCUCAAGUGGUCAGGAUGAUUAUUGGGCCUAAAGCAUCCGUAGCCGGCUCAGUAAGUUUUCGGUUAAAUCUGUACGCUCAACGUACAGGCUGCCGGGAAUACUGCAGAGCUAGGGAGUGGGAGAGGUAGACGGUACUCGGGAGGAAGUGGUAAAAUGCUUUGAUCUUUCGAUGACCACCUGCGGCGAAGGCGGUCUACCAGAACACGUCCGACGGUGAGGGAUGAAAGCUGGGGGAGCAAACCGGAUUAGAUACCCGGGUAGCCCCAGCUGUAAACUAUGCAAACUCAGUGAUGCAUUGGCUUGUGGCAAAUGCAGUGUUGCAGGGAAGCCGUUAAGUUUGCCGCCUGGGAAGUACGUACGCAAGUAUG